GCCAGCAUGCAAAAAAGAAAUCAGCAUGCAAAAAAGAUAGGAUGGGGGGAAAAAAAGCAUCCGACACAUCAGGGCAAGGCUGGAACAAACCCAGCACCCAUUUUAAAAAAGCCAGCAAAAAAGCCUGCAUGCAAAAAAAAAAUCAGCAUGCAAAAAAAGCCAGGAUGCAAAAACAACAAAAAAAAAGUCAGCAUGCAAAUAAUAAUAAUAAAAAUAAAUAAGCAUCCCAAAAAAAAGGGCAGGAUGCAAAAGCUGCGUGGGGCCCGUCAGGACAAAGGGGGCACUGUCAAGCAGCCCCACCAAAGAGCAGCCAAGACAGGCACAUACAGAGUGCCGAAAAAGGAUCGGAGAGCCUCAGGAUGCCCCGGCAGGUCCACACCCAAAACCACCUCAGAGUGACGGACCUGUCAAAGGAGGCUCUCCCGCUUCUGCCCUGGGACACAAGCGUCAGCCUGUCCCAGGUCCUGCAAAAGCAGAAGAACAGGUACCAGGAGCUGUGGGGUCCAUCCCUCCCCAAACAGCGAUUGGCGGGCUCCUGGAUAGAGCCUCCCAGCACCUCAACUCUGGGAGAAGACAUGGCCUGGCCCAGAUUCAAAAUAAUUUUUAAAAAAAGCCAGGAUAGAAAAAAAGCAUGCUUCAGGGUAAGGCCUGGGACCCCCCUCAGCCAAAAGCCAGCAUUCAUUAAAAACAAAAGCUGGCAAAAAGGCAGCAUGCAAAAUAAGAAAAAAUCCAGCACA